rnacentral:rRNA from 1 species
UACGUAGGGGGCAAGCGUUGUCCGGAUUUAUUGGCGUAAAGAGCGUGUAGGCGGCCAGACAGGUCAGCCUGUGAAAACUCGAGGCUCAACCUCGAGACGUCGGUUGAAACCGUCUGGCUAGAGUCCGGGAAGAGGAGAGUGGAAUUCCCGGUGUAGCGGUGAAAUGCGCAGAUAUCGGGAAGAACACCCGUGGCGAAGGCGGCUCUCUGGGACGGUACUGACGCUGAGACGACGAAAGCGGUGGGGAGCGAACGAGGA